AACAGCUCUUCCAAUCUGUGUCUCAGUAGCACCUUCCUAGGGUAAGGCCUUCCGAGAUGCCACCACUCUGCUGGCCCUUUUCAUCUCUGUCCCGUACCCAUUUAGAAGGCGUAUAACCGAGGCCUCGUCCGAACCCUUAGACUUCAAGGCCCAGCCCACUGGCUCCGGCUGAGAAGUGGCACCGCUGUGGGAAGCUGGCAGAACUGGCUGCGGGUUAUUUAGUUAAAACAAGAAGGAACCUUUACGGUGCAUCCAAGGAAACGAUCUGUAGCUGACACAGCAGGUGGGGGCCACACGUUGUGACAGGUAAAGCAAAUUCAUAGCCUUGAACAACAUGGAAAGCUGCCAAUAUUAUGUAUCCCGAAUACACAUACAUUUUUCAACUGCUUGAAACAUCAUUUAGGUUAAAAAAAAAAAAGUAAAUAACAGACUGAUCUAAAACGCACCUAAGCUACCCGAAUACGGAACAAGAUGUGAAAAGAGUGAGGAGCUGGUUGGUCCACAGCUGAAAGCCACGCCCCCGGCCAACAGCGGACUUCCAAAGUAGGGAGAAACGCCGACACUUCAUGGCCUGAAGAGCAGAGCGCAUGGAGGGGUGUUGUCUGAGUCUGUUAGUGUGUCAGUUACAGGUGAAAAAAAACGUCUGUCACAGUGGAGGGUGUGCCAGCCACGUAAGCUGAAAAUCAGGACUUACGGGAAUUUUAAAAUAAGACCCUGACGUCUCUCAUUGCUUUGUCCAUUAUGUGAUGCAGAAUGAAAAUCUUUAUGUCUGGAUUUCUGAGGGAGACACUGUGAAGAGUGUCGUGGAUAGUUUGUCUAAUGGUUUAUUAAACAUGCACCAAUUCUGUGACUCAUCCUUAUUCUAUCAAACUAUCGAGAGAAAUAAAAGCCAAUGAAUGUAAUGAUGUUUGUCGGUGCUUAUUGGAAGAGUUUAAAAAGAUCUGCUCUUCCUUUAUCUCCAAUUCAAACAUUUCUAGAAAUAGAGGGAAAGUCUGCCAAAUAGUCAGUCGUCAAAGCAACACACGACAGCGUGAUUUGUGUCUUCUCCCCCACGUCCCACUGCAGGAUCAUGACCUCACAGAAUGCACAUUUCCAUCAUCUGUCAUCACCAUCCUUUUGAUACUCGGAUUGUCCUGUGUGUAGCCAGUGGGACCCACCCCGUCACCCCCAAGGAUGGCUUCCUGUCCUGCCCGCACAGCCCCUAUUGUCUUCAAGAGCAUCCUCACAAAGCACACGUGGAACCAAGUGAUCAUGCAGGAGAAGCAGAGACAAGGACCCAGAGAGUCCUGAGCCCUCUGACUGUCCUCCAAGGACAGAAAUCCACACAGACUCUGCCUCCGUCCUCCACGAGAGCAGACAGUGCUCACAGGAUUGACGGGUGGCACAAGGUCACAGUCCUACCUCCGCCAUGAAGCUCCAGUGGAAUAUAAUGACCUUCCUGGUGUCACUAUGAGGUUGCAGUGCUGUGUACUGAGAUGUGCUUUCACAGAUGACCAAGGUCAGAUGUGACUCAUAGACAUCCUAACAGAAAAUAAAUCUGAUUCAAUGAAACGACUGCUAUUUGAAUUCUCAAAGGCAUUUCUUUUCUUCUUUCACAGUAUUUAUUUUGAAUGGCUAGCAUAUGCUCAUUGUACAAGCUUCAAAAGGAAGAGUAUACAGUGAAGAGUUUCCCUCCGUCCCUCAGCCUCUAAGCCAUCCUUAGAGGCAGCCACUGCUAACAUUUCUCCUUUAUCUCUGGAAACAUGAAAUGAUAUACUCUCUCUGUCCCUGUGCACAAACACUAGCAUACUUUACACACAGUUCUGUACCUUGACUCUUUUGUCUUAUAAAUCUUAAAAGCUCUAUCCAUAUUAGCACAUACAGCUCCCUUAUUCUUGUAAGCUGUCCUAUGGUAUUGGAUGGAAUGGAUGCCCCAUGAUUUAUUUAGCUCUCUUCCUUUGGUGGAUAUGUAAAUCAUUUUCAAAAAUAAUGGUGUUUACAUUCCAACGGACUUCCCUGCCAGCGAUGCCUGAGGGCUCCCGUCCCCUACUCUCACCCAGAACAGUUUAAAUGACUCAGCCGGCUACAUUUUUGGCCGGUAUAAAACGUUUGCAGUAGACAAAAACCAAACAAAACCCUGAACAUAAGGAACCUCCCACGUCUCCCUCUCCCACCCGCUGCGCCCCGCACGUGGCGCUGCGGCACCCGCGCUCCUCCGGAGCUAGCGGUCCCGCUCGCCGGCACUGGCAGCUGCGUCUGGGGAAGAGCCCUCUCGCCGCCCUACUGCGCUCCUCCCGGCGCCCACCUCGUCUGGAGCCUGCGGGCCCCGGGCGGCUGCGCGGGGAUUCGCGGGCGCUGCAAAGGCCCACGGGGAUGCGGGCCGCGUGCCCUUGGGGGCGACAGGGAGAGACCCGCGCGCCCCGG